ensembl:lncRNA
CUUGAGCCCUCGUCAGUUACUGAAGAACUGGCGUUAGUUUGGUUGAUUGGGGCCGUCCUUUCACCUGCUUCAGGUAAACCGUGGCGGGUUGAUCCUUCCUCCUCAUCCGCUUCCACUCCGAGAAGGUGAUGCGCGCGUGUCCGCUUUACGUGAUAGUAGAAGGAGUUAUAUACUCUGUACUCACUCGGACAGCCGUCAAUUCCACACACCACGCGAAAGUCAGGGCUGAGGCUGUGCAUGGUAUUAAUGUGACUCAAAAGUUGUCUCAGACUCAAUGCUACAAACACGUAGCAUAGAAAGCAACGCCAAAUCAUGUUGGAAGCUAGUAUCUUUCAUUCGGUAGCGCGGGUUGCAGUUGUGCCGUAAAAUAACUCGUUACCAUGGUUACACGCGCCUGCUAAAUUGUCGUAAAUGUGGGGGAUAAACUAAAUUAUUUUUUUAUUAACCUAUAAUAAUUAACGUUAUUUUGUAAUGCACAGAGACAGUUGUUUGGUUUAAAAACCAAUCAAUCAUCCUUUUAGGAUUUUUGGACCAAAGAAAUGUCAGGCAAAUUGAAGACGAACUUCGUUUCUGGCUGUCGUGAAUGAUCUGGUGGACAUCUUAAGUUCAUGCAGACACGUGCCUGCCACUACUGUCCGAGAGUUUUUUGCAUCCGUGUUUCAUUGGAACCGAACAGUGACUGGACGAGGCAAGCUAACGCCCAAAAAGCUAACUAGUGUGCUAAGUAGGCUAACAGCAUGGAAGGACUGGAUGAGGUCACAGUGUCGGUUUUAAUGGCUGCAAACAUCAGCGAGGGAAUGAUGGGCACCCUGUCUCGUGAAGACUUGCAGGAUCUUUUCCCAGGCCCAGAGAACUUUUUACGGAGAAAAGCUGUCUGGCGUGCCUGUCAGGAUGUACUGGAGGAAAAAGGAAAGCACAAAACCUACUUGAAGAAGAACCCUCUACCCUGCCAAGUCCUAAUAUAAACAAGCCUGCAGAUAUCAACAGUCCAGACACCCACUGUCCAGCAACCUUGGCCAAACACUACAAGACCCUACAAACUUUGUUUAAAAGAAAAAAUCCAAACCACCAGGAUGUCUCUCAGCUCCUGGAUUUGGAAUUUUCAGCCAGAAGAGCAUUUAUUGAUUCAAAUACUAUUCGCGAGGAGGACAGACACAAAAAGGUUCUAGAAGCAUACCCUUGCUUCAAGGACAUUGGACAUGUGAUGGAGGAGCUUCAUCGCAUUUUGGAUAAAGAAAAUGCCAACUUCAUCAAUGAACUGAAGGGAAGAUGGCAAGAUUUCUGCCAGAAGGUGCAGUUUUUUGGUGUAUGGAAAAAGACGCUGAAGCCCCCAAUGGGAAUGGAUAAAGCUGAACAGGCUCUUGAGAUCCUGCGUGUGCUGCCAUCACUGUUCCCAUCCACCUCUGCUCCUCCAAAGAGGGCACGGGAUGCGAGUGAGGCUCUGGUGCAUGUCCUUGAGGACCAAGAAGACCCUAAUACCUAUUUGAUGAAACGUCCUCUCUCCUGCCCAGUCCUGAUCGUGAGUCCGUCCAACUGCAUCCUAGCGGUAGGAGAUGUGCCAAUAACCACGUUUCCAAAAGACGAGGUUACGGAGGGUGCUUUAUACCUUAUGGCCUACUAUUAUACCCUACACCUUACAUACCCAAAGUGUGUAGCCACUCUUCUUUCCGUCAUACAGACGGAGGUUCUCUUGGACAAAAUCCAUGAGCGAGAUCUCACAUCAUCUUACAAGAAGAGCAUGGCUGACUGGAAUGCUUUUAUUGGCCAGUAGAGCCAGUGUGGUUAAGAUGUGGACUAUAGGAAAGCACUUCUUCUCUUCUUCCAAGGCUACUACAGUGCAUGUUGGUUGCGAUUGAUUUUUGUUUGGAAAUUGGCCAGGUUAGCCCAGUUUUAUAAUUAAGGAUGCACGAUAAUAUCGGUGAACAUGCCGACAUUUUAUGUUUGGUUUGUGCAGUGCAGACUGCCUAGCUUUUAGUUGAUUUUAAAGGGUUUUUUUUUUUUUUUAAUGUUGAGUUUAGGCUACAGUGUAUUCAGCAGAUAGGCUCUGUGCAUCCUUAAUGAUAAUUUUACAAUGGUAUUGUUUGAAGAAUGUUGUCAAAUGUCCAUGUUAAUAUAGUCCAGGACCUUUAAUUUAAAUGAUAAAAACACUUUGUAUUAAUAACAAAUGUUACAGGUUGAGCAGUUUAGUAUGCCUAGCAGUGUGUUUGUCUGUGCUUUGAAUUGUGCCUGUGCAAUGCACAGAUUUUAGCAGUGUAUUAAGGGCCAGAUUGGGCAGAACAAAAAGUCACUGCAAAAUGGCUUCUUUAAUGCAGUCCUCUCUGUUUAUGGGGCUUUACCAAUAAAGUUGCUGCUCUGCAAAUCUAUAGUUUUCAUUUUUUUGUCUUAUAAGUAGCAGGUAAAUGUCUUGAAUCUAGAACAGUAUUACUGCUGUAUAGAAAGGUAAAUGCACUAGAAAUGGAGAAUUAUUACAAAAAUACUAGUAAAAAAAUGCUAACUUAAAUAAAUUUUGUCUCAAAAUGCC